GCCUGAAGAUGAGCUCGCGUCUGAUUAGCUAGUAGGUGUGGUAAAGGCGCACCUAGGCGACGAUCAGUAGCUGGUCUGAGAGGAUGAUCAGCCACACUGGGACUGAGACACGGCCCAGACUCCUACGGGAGGCAGCAGUGGGGAAUUUUCCGCAAUGGGCGAAAGCCUGACGGAGCAAUACCGCGUGAGGGAGGAAGGCUCUUGGGUUGUAAACCUCUUUUCUCAGGGAAGAAAAAAAUGACGGUACCUGAGGAAUAAGCAUCGGCUAACUCCGUGCCAGCAGCCGCGGUAAUACGGAGGAUGCAAGCGUUAUCCGGAAUGAUUGGGCGUAAAGGGUCCGCAGGUGGCCAUGUAAGUCUGCUGUUAAAGAAUGAGGCUUAACCUCAUCAGAGCGGUGGAAACUACACAGCUAGAGUGCGGUCGGGGUAGAGGGAAUUCCUGGUGUAGCGGUGAAAUGCGUAGAUAUCAGGAAGAACACCAGUGGCGAAAGCGCUCUACUAGACCAUAACUGACACUGAGGGACGAAAGCUAGGGGAGCGAAUGGGAUUAGAUACCCC
rnacentral:rRNA from 1 species